rnacentral:rRNA from 1 species
CGGCGGACGGGUGAGUAACGCGUAGGAAUCUACCCGGUAGUGGGGGACAACUUGUGGAAACGCAAGCUAAUACCGCAUACGCCCUAUGGGGGAAAGCGGGGGAUCUUCGGACCUCGCGCUAUCGGAUGAGCCUGCGUGGGAUUAGCUAGUUGGUGGGGUAAAGGCUCACCAAGGCGACGAUCCUUAGCUGGUCUGAGAGGAUGAUCAGCCACACUGGAACUGAGACACGGUCCAG